rnacentral:rRNA from 1 species
AGCUCCAAUAGCGUAUAUUAAAGUUGUUGUGGUUAAAAAGCUCGUAGUUGGAUUUCGGCGGGUAGUGGUUGGUUUGAAUUGAUUCAACACUGACUUUUUUACCCGUGGGUUUUGCCAGAAUCUUACGGGUGAUCUUUACCGAUUGUCCGUUUGAACUGGCAGGUUUACUUUGAAAAAAUUAGAGUGCUCAAAGCAGGCUAAAAUGCCUGAAUAUUCGUGCAUGGAAUAAUAGAAUAGGAUGUCGAUCCUAUUUUGUUGGUUUUUGGGACUCGACAUAAUGAGAAAUAGGGACAGUCGGGGGCAUUUGUAUUCAAACGACAGAGGUGAAAUUCUUGGACCGUUUGAAGACAAACUACUGCGAAAGCAUUUGCCAAGAAUGUUUUCA